AAAGGAGAAGCCGUGUGUUUAGACGGUUGGCCAGCCUUCUCCUGGGAAGUAAGUGCCAGGCAAAGGCAGAAGCUGUUUUCCAAGUGUUUGUGAAGAUGGACAGGACAGAACUUUAACUCCAGAUAAGCAACUGCUCAAGAAUAAAGAUAACAUAUUUCAAUAUGUCUAAAGCCCCACAGAGCUAACUGAGUCUAACCCAAGGAUUCUCCAAAGAGAAGUCUGUGGGAAAGAAUAAAAAGUCAAAAUGAAAAGCAGAAUUCAGGAACAACCUUUGCCCACAAAGAAUUGGUGAAAUGUUUGUGUGAUCUGCAUGGCCAAACAAUGGACCUGGAAGUUUAAGGAAGAUUUUUCUUCAGAACGCAUUAUGGUCCCUUGAACUAGGGAACAAGAAAUGGUACCCAAAGAACAUGGUUGCAUAUAGACGGUCAAUAGAUUUUAUGUUCGUUUCUAAGUAAGAAUUCAUUGUUAUCUUUGCAGUAGACAACUGGAGCAUGAGCAAGUGUUUUUCAGGGGAAAUGGACACACAACUUCUUUGGAGGGAGGCACUCGGAAUGUGGAGUCUAGAAGGAAAUAUAGGUCUCCCAAGUGCAUCUGUGAGAGUUGUUUUGGAUGUAAAGAUUGUUUGAAACUCGAUGGUUAAUAGUUUUCCUUGGCUGAAAAUCCAACUUCUCUGUUAUGCCCACUGAGUACAGCAGCUCAGAGCGACUGGUACACAAUUUAAGAGG